AGAGUUUGAUCCUGGCUCAGGAUAAACGCUGGCGGCGCACAUAAGACAUGCAAGUCGAACGAACUUAACCAUAAGUUUACUUUUGGAGCGGUUAGUGGCGGACUGGUGAGUAACGCGUAAGGAAUCUGCCUAUAAGAGGGGAAUAACAGUGAGAAAUCAUUGCUAAUACCGCAUAAGCUCUGAAUAUCGCAUGAUAAAAAGAGAAAAGGAGAAAUCCGCUUAUAGAUGAUCUUGCGUCUGAUUAGUUAGUUGGUGAGGUAAAGGCCCACCAAGACGAUGAUCAGUAGCCGGACUGAGAGGUUGAACGGCCACAUUGGGACUGAGAUACGGCCCAGACUCCUACGGGAGGCAGCAGUCGGGAAUAUUGCGCAAUGGAGGAAACUCUGACGCAGUGACGCCGCGUGCAGGAAGAAGGUUUUCGGAUUGUAAACUGCUUUAGAUAGGGAAGAAAAAAAUGACAGUACCUAUAGAAUAAGCUCCGGCUAACUACGUGCCAGCAGCCGCGGUAAUACGUAGGGAGCGAGCGUUAUCCGGAUUUAUUGGGUGUAAAGGGUGCGUAGAUGGAUAAACAAGUUGGUUGUGAAAUCCCUCGGCUUAACUGAGGAAUUGCAACCAAAACUGUAGAUCUUGAGUACUGGAGGGGAAAGCGGAAUUCCUAGUGUAGCGGUGAAAUGCGUAGAUAUUAGGAAGAACACCGGUGGCGAAGGCGGCUUUCUGGACUGAAACUGACGCUGAGGCACGAAAGCGUGGGGAGCGAACAGGAUUAGAUACCCUGGUAGUCCACGCCGUAAACGAUGAGUGCUAGGUGUCGGGGAGGAAUCCCCGGUGCCGCAGCUAACGCAAUAAGCACUCCACCUGGGGAGUACGACCGCAAGGUUGAAACUCAAAGGAAUUGACGGGGGCCCGCACAAGCGGUGGAGCAUGUGGUUUAAUUCGAAGCAACGCGAAGAACCUUACCAAAGCUUGACAUCCUGAUGACAGGCGUAGAGAUACGCUUUCCCUUCGGGGCAUCGGAGACAGGUGGUGCAUGGUUGUCGUCAGCUCGUGUCGUGAGAUGUUGGGUUAAGUCCCGCAACGAGCGCAACCCUUACCCUUAGUAGCCAGCGGUCCGGCCGGGCACUCUGUGGAGACUGCCGGAGAUAAUCCGGAGGAAGGUGGGGAUGACGUCAAAUCAUCAUGCCCUUUAUGGCUUGGGCUACACACGUGCUACAAUGGCGGUAACAAAGUGAAGCAGCCUCGCGAGAGUGAGCCAACCACAAAAAAACCGUCCCAGUUCGGAUUGUAGUCUGCAACCCGACUACAUGAAGCUGGAAUCGCUAGUAAUCGCAGAUCAGAAUGCUGCGGUGAAUACGUUCCCGGGUCUUGCACACACCGCCCGUCA
rnacentral:rRNA from 1 species